rnacentral:sRNA from 1 species
UCUAUCUAUCAAAAUAGAAGCUUCGGGU